rnacentral:lncRNA from 1 species
UUUGUUUCAUGCUCUGGAGGUUGUUUUGUGGUCAAAUAUUAGUUAAAUACUGGUUCUUUAAAGGCACCCAUUCCACGGCCCAUAUAUUCAGAGCUGACUCAGGUGUAGAGCUGUCUGGUCAAUGCUAUGUCAUUUAGUAUCUCAGAGGAACAUCAGCACUACAGAGUCACAGUAUCCCUAUUAUUGCCUGCCAGGCUCCAGCGCAGAGGAAUAAGAGCUGUGAACACUUGGUUCCACCUCCACUCCUGGAGCUACAGAGGUCCAGCACGACCAAAGAAACCACACCGCAGAACCUGUAAUAGAUGAUUAUAAAAAGAUGGGGACUCUCUUCGGCGAAUUAAACAAAAGCCUCAUCAGAAUAGGCUUCACAAGGAUGUAUUUUGGAGAACGGAUAGUAGAACCUGUAAUAAUCAUGUUCUUUUGGGUUAUGCUCUGGUUUCUUGGCUUACAAGCUCUUGGACUAGUUGCAGUUCUGUGCCUUGUCAUUAUUUAUGU